rnacentral:rRNA from 1 species
GAUUGAACGCUGGCGGCAGGCCUAACACAUGCAAGUCGAGCGGUAGAGAGAAGCUUGCUUCUCUUGAGAGCGGCGGACGGGUGAGUAAUGCCUAGGAAUCUGCCUGGUAGUGGGGGAUAACGUUCGGAAACGGACGCUAAUACCGCAUACGUCCUACGGGAGAAAGCAGGGGACCUUCGGGCCUUGCGCUAUCAGAUGAGCCUAGGUCGGAUUAGCUAGUUGGUGGGGUAAUGGCUCACCAAGGCGACGAUCCGUAACUGGUCUGAGAGGAUGAUCAGUCACACUGGAACUGAGACACGGUCCAGACUCCUACGGGAGGCAGCAGUGGGGAAUAUUGGACAAUGGGCGAAAGCCUGAUCCAGCCAUGCCGCGUGUGUGAAGAAGGUCUUCGGAUUGUAAAGCACUUUAAGUUGGGAGGAAGGGUUGUAGAUUAAUACUCUGCAAUUUGACGUA